rnacentral:rRNA from 1 species
UACGUAGGGUGCAAGCGUUAAUCGGAAUUACUGGGCGUAAAGCGUGCGCAGGCGGUUGUGCAAGACAGAGGUGAAAUCCCCGGGCUUAACCUGGGAAUGGCCUUUGUGACUGCACGGCUAGAGUGUGUCAGAGGGGGGUAGAAUUCCACGUGUAGCAGUGAAAUGCGUAGAGAUGUGGAGGAAUACCGAUGGCGAAGGCAGCCCCCUGGGAUAACACUGACGCUCAGGCACGAAAGCGUGGGGAGCAAACAGGG